AAUGGUGAAAGUCAGAAUGAAUGAAUUUUUCAGUAUUGGGUACUUGAUUUACAGUGCUGCCUUUUCAUCUGCAUCUGGCAAAGUGGAGAUUGUUGCCAUCAAUGAUCCCUUUAUUGACCUCAACUAUAUGGUCUACAUAUUUUAGUAUGACUCUAGUCAUGGCAAGCUCAAUGGCACAGUCAAGAUUGAGAAUGGAACAAUGGAACACUUAUCAUCAAUGGGAAACCCAUUACCAUCUUUCAGGAGCUAGAUCCUGCUAACAUCAAAUAGGGGGAUACUGGUGCUGAGUAUGUCCUGGAGUCUACUGGUGUCUUCACCACAGUGGAGAAGUCCAGUGUCCACUGGAAUGGUGGAGCCAAAAGUGUCAUCAUCUCUGCCCCUUCUGCUGAUUCCCAUCAUGUUUGUGAUGGGUGUGAAGCAGAAGAAAUAUAACAACUCACUCAAGAUUUUCAGCAAUGAACCCUGUAACACCAACUUCUAAGCCCUCCUGGCCAAGGUCAACCAUGGCAACUUUGCCAUCAUAGAAGUACUCAUUGCUAUGGUCAAUGCCAUCACUGCCUCUCAGAAGACUGUGGAUGGCCCCUUGUAAAGCUGUGGUGUGAUGGCCAUGGUGCUGCCCAGAACAUCAUCCCUGCAUCCACUAGUGCUGCCAAGUCUGUAAGCAAGGUGAUUCCAGAGCUGAAUUGGAAGCCAAUGAGCUUCCUACCCCCAGUGUAUCCGUCAUGGAUCUGACAUGUCACAUGGGGAAACCUGCCAAGUAUGUCAUCAUCAAGAAGGUGGUGAAGCAGGCAUUAGAUGGCCGACUAAAGGGCAUCCUGGGCUACACUGAGGAACAGGUUGUCUCCUGUGACUUCAAAAAUAACUUCCAUCUUUGAUGCUGGGGCUAGCAUUGUUCUCAAUGACAACUCUGUAAAGUCUAUUUUCUGGUGUGACAAUGAAUAUUGCUACAACUACAAUGUAGUGAACAUCACGGCUACAUGGCCUCCAUGACUAAGAAA
rnacentral:lncRNA from 1 species